rnacentral:rRNA from 1 species
UCCAGACUCCUACGGGAGGCAGCAGUGGGGGAUAUUGCACAAUGGGGGGAACCCUGAUGCAGCGACGCCGCGUGGGUGAAGGAGCGUUUCGGCGCGUAAAGCCCUAUCGGCAGGGAAGAAGGAGGACGGUACCUGACUAAGAAGCCCCGGCUAACUACGUGCCAGCAGCCGCGGUAAUACGUAGGGGGCAAGCGUUAUCCGGAUUUACUGGGUGUAAAGGGGGCGCAGACGGCAGCGCAAGCCAGGAGUGAAAGCCCGGGGCCCAACCCCGGGACUGCUCUUGGAACUGCGCGGCUGGAGUGCAGGAGGGGCAGGCGGAAUUCCUGGUGUAGCGGUGAAAUGCGUAGAUAUAAGGAGGAACACCGGUGGCGAAGGCGGCCUGCUGGACUGCGACUGACGUUGAGGCCCGAAAGCGUGGGGAGCAAACAGGAUUAGAUACCCGCGUACGG